UCCAGCACCACUCUGAUCUCUGGUCUGGUUUCCAGCAUCUGCAGUCCUCACUUUUGCCCAAAGGGAUAGAUACUGAGGGGUUUCUUAAAGGAGGAUAGAGAAGUGGACAGAUUUAGAGAGAGAAUUCCAGACCUUAGGCCCUAAGACAACCCUAAUUAACAUGUAUGGUGCAUACAAGCUGAAAUUAAAGGAUCUCAGAUAUCUUGAAGUGCUGGCAAACGACUGGACUGGACUGCAUGAAGUGAUUUGAAAACAAGAAUGGAAUUUCAAAAUUGAGGUUUGUUUUCGCUGAAACCGCUGUGGACCAAUGAACCCAGAGAUGAUGGUAAAUGGUAUUGAGUGCAAGAUAAGGCACCGAGUGUCGAUUUUAGUUAAAGCUUAAGCUAAUUGAGUACCUGAAGUUUUUAAGUUUAUAAUUGUGAGUGAUUUUAACUCUAUUACCUAUUGGAAACAGGGUGGAUGGACAGAUGAUUGAGAUUGUCCAGGUGACGAGCUGCAAAGAAGCCACAAGGAAUGUGUCUUACUCAGCAAUAGCAAGUCCAGAGAAACUACAGAAUAUCACCCCUGGAGGGUGUCAAAGAACUUCAAGCAGACACUGUAAAGGAAGUGUUGCAAUUCAAAAAACUGACCUAUGAUCACUUGUAGUUGCAUGGUUGAUGGAAGAUGAUUAUUACCUCUGCAGAAACCAUCCCUGGGAGUGAUGCAGGCUGAGAGGCCAACCCUGGGCAGGGAGUUCGAAACACAGUCCGGGUGACUGUGAAGAAGGUAGAGGGUCGUACACCGGUGGAUCGCAUCCUGUUUAUUAAGAAGGUAUUGCUAGGAUGCUGUGGGUUCGCUGCAGCGGACGUGUCCUGCCUGCAGGAUUUCCCUGGGGCAGGCUACUUUGAUGUGACCUUCAGAAAUGUGAAGCAGUGCGAACA